AGUGAACGCUGGCGGCGUGCUUAACACAUGCAAGUCGAACGAGUACGAUCAAAGCUUGCUUUGAUACGACUAGUGGCAGACGGGUGAGUAAUACAUAGGAAUCUACCCAGCAGUAUGGGAUAACUCCUGGAAACAAGAGCUAAUACCAUAUACAGCUGAGAAGUAAAAGAUUUAUCGCUGUUGGAUGAGCCUAUGCAAGAUUAGUUAGUUGGUGAGGUAACUGCUCACCAAGACCAUGAUCUUUAGCUGGUCUGAGAGGACGAUCAGCCACACUGGAACUGAGACACGGUCCAGACUCCUACGGGAGGCAGCAGUGGGGAAUUUUGGACAAUGGGCGCAAGCCUGAUCCAGCAACGCCGCGUGAGUGAUGACGGCCUUAGGGUUGUAAAGCUCUUUCAGUAGGGAAGAUAAUGACGGUACCUACAGAAGAAGUCCCGGCUAACUUCG
rnacentral:rRNA from 1 species